GAGAGUAACUGCUCGUACCUUGACGGUACCUAACCAGAAAGCCACGGCUAACUACGUGCCAGCAGCCGCGGUAAUACGUAGGUGGCAAGCGUUAUCCGGAAUUAUUGGGCGUAAAGCGCGCGCAGGCGGUUUCUUAAGUCUGAUGUGAAAGCCCACGGCUCAACCGUGGAGGGUCAUUGGAAACUGGGGAACUUGAGUGCAGAAGAGAAAAGCGGAAUUCCACGUGUAGCGGUGAAAUGCGUAGAGAUGUGGAGGAACACCAGUGGCGAAGGCGGCUUUUUGGUCUGUAACUGACGCUGAGGCGCGAAAGCGUGGGGAGCAAACAGGAUUAGAUACCCUGGUAGUCCACGCCGUAAACAAAUGAGGGCUAAGUGUUAGAGGGUUUCCGCCCUUUAGUGCUGCAGCU
rnacentral:rRNA from 2 species